GACGAACGCUGGCGGCGUGCCUAAUACAUGCAAGUCGAACGCUGAAGGAGGAGCUUGCUUCUCUGGAUGAUUUGCGAACGGGUGAGUAACGCGUAGGUAACCUGCCUCGUAGCGGGGGAUAACUAUUGGAAACGAUAGCUAAUACCGCAUAAUAGUAGAUGUUGCAUGACAUUUGCUUAAAAGGUGCAAUUGCAUCACUACCAGAUGGACCUGCGUUGUAUUAGCUAGUUGGUGAAGUAACGGCUGACCAAGGCAACGAUACAUAGCCGACCUGAGAGGGGUGUCGGCCACACUGGGACUGGGACCCGGCCCAGACCCCUACGGGAGGCAGCAGUAGGGGAUCUUCGGCCAUGGACGGAAGUCUGACCGAGCAACGCCGCGGGAGUGAAGAAGGGUUUCGGAUCGUAAAGAUCUGUUGUAAGAGAAGAAAGAGUGUGAGAGUGGAAAGUUCACACUGUGACGGUACCUUACCAGAAAGGGACGGCUAACUACGUG
rnacentral:rRNA from 1 species